GACGAACCGUGCGAACGUUGUUCGGAAUCACUGGGCAUAAAGGGCGCGUAGGCGGCUUUUCAAGUCAGGGGUGAAAUCCGGCAGCUCAACUGGGGAACUGCGUCUGAGACUGGCAGGCUUGAGUGCAGGAGAGGAACGCGGAAUUCCAGGUGUAGCGGUGAAAUGCGUAGAUAUCUGGAGGAACACCGGUGGCGAAGGCGGCGUUCUGGACUGUUACUGACACUGAGGAACGAAAGCCAGGGGAGCAAACGGG
rnacentral:rRNA from 1 species